rnacentral:lncRNA from 1 species
AAGAAAUUAGAGUGAAAUUACUGACUUUCCUUUGUAGAUGAAGAAACAGGCUCAGAGAAGUGAAGUGGCCCGCCCAAAGUUCCAAAACUAACUGUGCGAGAGGUAGCACCUGAGAACUGGUACCCGAAGAGCGGAGGAGGCGCGUGUGCAACCAUUGCCCGGGAUCGGUAUGUGCAUUUAAAGGUGAAGACCAGAGUCAGCACAGCUAGAGGCUCUCCUCAAGCAUCAGAAUGACACAAAGAGCCUCCAGAAAGAUACAUUUUCCAGCAGGCCUCCCUGUCAGUACAGAAAC